UACGUAGGGUGCAAGCGUUGUCCGGAAUUAUUGGGCGUAAAGAGCUCGUAGGCGGUUUGUCGCGUCUGCUGUGAAAACUGGAGGCUCAACCUCCAGCCUGCAGUGGGUACGGGCAGACUAGAGUGCGGUAGGGGGAGAUUGGAAUUCCUGGUGUAGCGGUGGAAUGCGCAGAUAUCAGGAGGAACACCGAUGGCGAAAGGCA
rnacentral:rRNA from 1 species